rnacentral:lncRNA from 1 species
GAAAUAUUCAGUCUGUUUCAUCAUUGUGAAAUAAUAGAAUUAUUUUAACCUCCCUUUUGUUUGCCUAUUAUGGGAAUUAAACCAGGAUCCCCAUCGAUGGAGAAUGCUGACCACUGUCAGGUAGACCUCAGGCAAAAAGAAACUGAAGACUGAACUCAGGCUGUUUUAAAUUUCUUCCCAAGGAGCCUGGAGACAGUCACACCUGCAGGCAACCCAUCUUGCUAGACUCGUCGCACUGACCCAGUCUGUUGUGACUUGCUGUCAUGACUUGACUCUGGCAUAGCACCACUUGAUGAUUAAUAGUUUUCCUUAUCUUAACAAAUAUAUGUUAACACCAAGCCUUAACAUACCUUUCUGCUGACCCCAACGUUUUAGACAAAGGCUUGUUCCCUUAGCCAGUUGCAAAUCAGAGAAUCUCUAAAUCCACCUCGGACCUGUUAGCCCCUGCUUCAAGAUAUCCUCCCUUUGCAGAACAAGUCAAUGUAUAACCUCCACGUAUUGAUUUAUGAGUUUGCCUAUUACUUCUGUUUUCCUGAAAUGUACCCCUGUCUUUAAAAACGCUUGUAAGCCAC